rnacentral:rRNA from 1 species
AUUGAACGCUGGCGGCAGGCCUAACACAUGCAAGUCGAACGAGUGGCGGACGGGUGAGUAAAGUCUGGGAAACUGCCUGAUGGAGGGGGAUAAAUACUGGAAACGGUAGCUAAUAACGCAUACCAUCAGAUGUGCCCAGAUGGGAUUAGCUAGUUGGUGGGGUAAAGGCUCACCAAGGCGACGAUCCCUAGCUUGUCUGAGAGGAUGACCAGCCACACUGGAACGGGGACACGGUCCAGACUCCGACGGUAGGCAGCAGUGGGGAAUAUUGCACAAUGGGCGCAAGCCUGAUGCAGCCAUGUCGCGGGUAUGAAGAAGGCCUUCGGGUUGUAAAGUACUUUCAGCGGGGAGGCGUUACCCGCAGACGAAGCACCGGCUAACUCCGUGCCAGCAGCCGCGGUAAUUC